UACGUAGGGUGCAAGCGUUGUCCGGAAUUAUUGGGCGUAAAGAGCUCGUAGGCGGUCUGUCGCGUCUGCUGUGAAAACUCGGGGCUUAACCCCGGGCCUGCAGUGGGUACGGGCAGACUAGAGUGCGGUAGGGGAGACUGGAAUUCCUGGUGUAGCGGUGAAAUGCGCAGAUAUCAGGAGGAACACCGGUGGCGAAGGCGGUUCUCUGGGCCUUACCUGACGCUGAGGAGCGAAAGCGUGGGGAGCGAACAGG
rnacentral:rRNA from 1 species